ACGUGCAGUGUUGGGGUGCCUCCAGGACCAGGGUUGGGAACCAUUGAUCUAGACAGCUAAAGGAGAAAAUAAGAGACCAAUCUUUGUUUUAAUUUGACAGAAAAUGUUUAUUUCCCCAUUCAAAGAAUUUAAAGAAAGGUGAUUAGUGAAAAACAAGUCAACAUCCAAACUGAGGAGUGGGAAGGAGCUGGAGGAAGCGGGAUGGCUCCAGAUGACAAACAGUCACACGUCUUUGGCUCUAACAGCAGCAGGGGCGGCGUCUACACGCCAUAGCAGGCUGAAAGCCUCUCCUUCAGCAGCGGUGGAAACUGUUCGGAGAACUGCUGCC